UACGUAGGGUGCGAGCGUUGUCCGGAUUUAUUGGGCGUAAAGGGCUCGUAGGCGGCCUGUCGCGUCGGGAGUGAAAGCCCACUGCUUAACGGUGGGUCUGCUUCCGGUACGGGCGGGCUGGAGUAUGGCAGGGGAGACUGGAAUUCCUGGUGUAGCGGUGGAAUGCGCAGAUAUCAGGAGGAACACCGGUGGCGAAGGCGGGUCUCUGGGCCAUUACUGACGCUGAGGAGCGAAAGCGUGGGAGCGAACAGG
rnacentral:rRNA from 1 species